AGAGUUUGAUCCUGGCUCAGGAUGAACGCUAGCGGCAGGCUUAACACAUGCAAGUCGAGGGGUAUGCUUCUUCGGAAGUAGAGACCGGCGCACGGGUGCGUAACGCGUAUGCAAUCUACCUUUUACAGAGGGAUAGCCCAGAGAAAUUUGGAUUAAUACCUCAUAGUAUUAUGAAAUGGCAUCAUUUUAUAAUUAAAGUCACAACGGUAAAAGAUGAGCAUGCGUCCCAUUAGCUAGUUGGUAAGGUAACGGCUUACCAAGGCUACGAUGGGUAGGGGUCCUGAGAGGGAGAUCCCCCACACUGGUACUGAGACACGGACCAGACUCCUACGGGAGGCAGCAGUGAGGAAUAUUGGACAAUGGGCGCAAGCCUGAUCCAGCCAUGCCGCGUGCAGGAUGACGGUCCUAUGGAUUGUAAACUGCUUUUGUACAGGAAGAAACACUGGUUCGUGAACCAGCUUGACGGUACUGUAAGAAUAAGGAUCGGCUAACUCCGUGCCAGCAGCCGCGGUAAUACGGAGGAUCCAAGCGUUAUCCGGAAUCAUUGGGUUUAAAGGGUCCGUAGGCGGUUUAAUAAGUCAGUGGUGAAAGCCCAUCGCUCAACGGUGGAACGGCCAUUGAUACUGUUAAACUUGAAUUAUUAGGAAGUAACUAGAAUAUGUAGUGUAGCGGUGAAAUGCUUAGAGAUUACAUGGAAUACCAAUUGCGAAGGCAGGUUACUACUAAUUGAUUGACGCUGAUGGACGAAAGCGUGGGUAGCGAACAGGAUUAGAUACCCUCGUAGUCC
rnacentral:rRNA from 1 species